ensembl:lncRNA
CCUCCUAUCCAGUGGCCUGCAUGUUCCCACUCACUCCUCCUAUCCAGUCGCCUGCAUGUUCCCAUCACUCCUCCUAUCAGAUGGCCUGCAUGUUCCCACUCACUCCUCCUAUCCAAUGGCCUGCAUGUUCCCACUCACUCCUCCUAUCCAAUGGCCUGCAUGUUCCCACUCACUCCUCCUAUCCAGUGGCCUGCAUGUUCCCACUCACUCCUCCUAUCCAAUGGCCUGCAUGUUCCCACUCACUCCUCCUAUCCAGUGGCCUGAGAGUUCCCACUCACUCCUCCUAUCCAGUGGCCGGCACGUUCCCACUCACUCCCCUAUCCAGUGGCCUGCAUGUCCCCACUCACUCCUCCUAUCCAGUGGCCUGCAUGUUCCCACUCACUCCUCUUAUCCAGUGGCCUGCACGUUCC